rnacentral:rRNA from 1 species
UACGAAGGGGGCUAGCGUUGUUCGGAAUCACUGGGCGUAAAGCGCACGUAGGCGGGUCUUUAAGUCGGAGGUGAAAUCCUGGAGCUCAACUCCAGAACUGCCUUCGAUACUGAGGAUCUCGAGUCCGGGAGAGGUGAGUGGAACUGCGAGUGUAGAGGUGAAAUUCGUAGAUAUUCGCAAGAACACCAGUGGCGAAGGCGGCUCACUGGCCCGGUACUGACGCUGAGGUGCGAAAGCGUGGGGAGCAAACAGG